GUUGAAACACUGGUUCUCAUAUGAUCAACUAAGUUAAGCAAUGUCAAACCUGUUCAGUACCUAAAUGGGUGACCACUUGAGAAUAUCAGGUGCUGUAAG